rnacentral:rRNA from 1 species
GACCUGAUAUUAAGUAAGAUUACC